UCAAACGGAGCGGGAGAAGGAUUCAGAGCUCUGCUGGCAACACAAGCAGAGCAGAAAUGCUGCUGGGGAAAGAGACAGGCAAAAGGCAGAAAACCUCCCCACUCUCACCAUCAGUGCACAUGACCUUGGGGCCAGAGCGAGCUAGCGAGCAAGCAGGCGGAGGAACCGCCCAACCAGCACUGGUGCACACACAGAGGAAUUUGGAAGACAGAGUGGAGCGCAGGUCUGUGAGCCCUCGCCCUCUGCUUAAAGGCCCUCCACUCCAGCGCUGCACCUCAGGAACAUGCUGAUAGCUGCUGGACACUCCACAGCUCAGAAAGGAACCCAGAAUCUGGACUGCUGUCAUGAAGAAGCGAUGGGAGGAAAAUGUUGCCUUUUCUGGGGAAAAAGAGAAAAAAACCUGCAAAACCUGAGACAAAGUGAAAGCAGAAAUCCCACACAAAUCCUUCAGCAGAGUCGGCUCUUCCUACCUGGACUCGGGCCUCCGACAGUCCCAGCCGCUGGCUCAGCUCUUCCCGCAUGAAGGCGUCCGGAUAGUGGGUCUCGUCGA